CACGUAGGGGGCAAGCGUUGUCCGGGUUUAUUGGGCGUAAAGGGCUCGUAGGCGGUUCGACAAGUCGGGUGUGAAACCUCCAGGCUCAACCUGGAGACGCCGCUCGAAACUGUUGUGACUAGAGUCCGGUAGAGGAGUAUGGAAUUCCUGGUGUAGCGGUGGAAUGCGCAGAUAUCAGGAGGAACACCAGUAGCGAAGGCGAUACUCUGGACCGGUACUGACGCUGAGGAGCGAAAGCAUGGGGAGCGAACAGG
rnacentral:rRNA from 1 species